UACGUAGGGGGCAAGCGUUGUCCGGAAUCAUUGGGCGUAAAGAGCGUGUAGGUGGCCCGGUAAGUCCGCUGUAAAAGUCAAAGGCUCAACCUUUGAAUGUCAGUGGAUACUGCCGGGCUAGAGUCCGGAAGAGGCGAGUGGAACUCCUGGUGUAGCGGUGGAAUGCGCAGAUAUCAGGAAGAACACCAACGGCGAAGGCAGCUCGCUGGGACGGUACUGACGCUGAGACGCGAAAGCGUGGGGAGCGAACAGG
rnacentral:rRNA from 1 species